UGCGGGGGGGGCAAGCGUUGUUCGGAAUUACUGGGCGUAAAGGGCUCGUAGGCGGCCAACUAAGUCAAACGUGAAAUCCCUCGGCUUAACCGGGGAACUGCGUCUGAUACUGGAUGGCUUGAGUUUGGGAGAGGGAUGCGGAAUUCCAGGUGUAGCGGUGAAAUGCGUAGAUAUCUGGAGGAACACCGGUGGCGAAGGCGGCAUCCUGGACCGAUACUGACGCUGAGGAGCGAAAGCCAGGGGAGCAAACGGG
rnacentral:rRNA from 1 species